GACGAACCGUGCGAACGUUGUUCGGAAUCACUGGGCUUAAAGGGCGCGUAGGCGGGUCAUCAAGUCCGUGGUGAAAGCCUCCAGCUUAACUGGAGAAGUGCCGCGGAUACUGGUGGUCUUGAGGGAGGUAGGGGCAUGUGGAACUUCCGGUGGAGCGGUGAAAUGCGUAGAUAUCGGGAAGAACACCCGUGGCGAAGGCGGCUCUCUGGGACGGUACUGACGCUGAGACGCGAAAGCGUGGGGAGCGAACAGG
rnacentral:rRNA from 1 species